CUCUCCACAAGAAACAAGAGACUGCUUCCAGUGCUCUGGAGUAUGAAUGAGAAGUCAUGAAGUCAACCUAGAGAGUGGAGACAGUGAGUGAGAUAAUAUCUAUAGCAAAGGGAGCAAGGAACUAAAGCAGCCACUGUCAGCUAACUUGAAGUCAAAGGGUUGAUUCAGGGAUUUUUUAAUUCCUCCUAUUUCAAUACCUUGGGAAGCCCCAAAGAAAGCAGAGAAACAGGAUUC
rnacentral:lncRNA from 1 species